ACGGGUGAGUAAUGUCUGGGGAUCUGCCCGAUAGAGGGGGAUAACCACUGGAAACGGUGGCUAAUACCGCAUAACGUCGCAAGACCAAAGAGGGGGACCUUCGGGCCUCUCACUAUCGGAUGAACCCAGAUGGGAUUAGCUAGUAGGCGGGGUAAUGGCCCACCUAGGCGACGAUCCCUAGCUGGUCUGAGAGGAUUACCAGCCACACUGGAACUGAGACACGGUCCAGACUCCUACGGGAGGCAGCAGUGGGGAAUAUUGCACAAUGGGCGCAAGCCUGAUGCAGCCAUGCCGCGUGUAUGAAGAAGGCCUUCGGGUUGUAAAGUACUUUCAGCGGGGAGGAAGGCGACGGGGUUAAUAACCCUGUCGAUUGACGUUACCCGCAGAAGAAGCACCGGCUAACUCCGUGCCAGCAGCCGCGGUAAUACGGAGGGUGCAAGCGUUAAUCGGAAUUACUGGGCGUAAGCGCACGCAGGCGGUCUGUUAAGUCAGAUGUGAAAUCCCCGGGCUUAACCUGGGAACUGCAUUUGAAACUGGCAGGCUUGAGUCUUGUAGAGGGGGGUAGAAUUCCAGGUGUAGC
rnacentral:rRNA from 1 species